rnacentral:rRNA from 1 species
GAUGAACGCUGGCGGCGUGCUUAACACAUGCAAGUCGAACGAUGAACCGGGUGCUUGCACUCGGGGAUUAGUGGCGAACGGGUGAGUAACACGUGAGCAACCUGCCCCUGACUCUGGGAUAAGCGCUGGAAACGGCGUCUAAUACUGGAUAUGUCCCGUCACCGCAUGGUGUGCGGGUGGAAAGAUUUUUCGGUUGGGGAUGGGCUCGCGGCCUAUCAGCUUGUUGGUGAGGUAAUGGCUCACCAAGGCGUCGACGGGUAGCCGGCCUGAGAGGGGAGCCGGCGAAACGGGGACUGAGACACAGCCCAGGGUCCUGCGGGAGGCAGGAGUGGGGAAUAUUGCACGAUGGGCGGAAGCCUGAUGCAGCAACGCCGCGUGAGGGAUGACGGCCUUCGGGUUGUAAACCUCUUUUAGCAGGGAAGAAGCGAGAGUGACGGUACCUGCAGAAAAAGCACCGGCUAACUACGUGCCAGCCGCCGCAGUAA